GACCUGUAACUUGAUGUUGAUAAGUCACCAGUUCCGCCAAUUGCUCAAUUUGCUUGCAUAGAGCUUUCAUCUUUCGUUCUAUUGUGAACUGAAACUUGGCAUAAUCCCAUCUGUCAUCACCAUCUUUGAGGGUCUGGGAGGAUUCAUAGCUAAAAUUGGAACUCUGUCCGUUGCUCCAAUUGAUCAUGUUGACCUCUUCUUCUUUGUGUUGAGGAAGAGGGUUGUCUUGAACGUGAGGUUGAUCUGGUUUGGUGACCACGAUCUCCCUGUUGUCUAUCAGGUCCUGGAUCUUGUGUUUCAAGGCCCAACAAUCCUGAGUAUCAUGUCCAGGUGCCCCGGCAUGAUAAGCACAUUUCUGAGCAGCAUUGAAAC
rnacentral:lncRNA from 1 species